CAAUAGCGUAUAUUAAAGUUGUUGCAGUUAAAAAGCUCGUAGUUGGAUUUCGGGGCAGCCUGGCUGGUCCGCCGCAAGGCGAGUACUGGUCAGCCGCCCUUCCUCUCGAAAGCCCCGACUGCUCUUUAUUGCAGUGGUCGGGUAGUUCGGGACGUUUACUUUGAAAAAAUUAGAGUGUUCAAGGCAGGCCUACGCCUGAAUACAUUAGCAUGGAAUAAUGGAAGAGGACCUCGGUCCUAUUUUGUUGGUUUCCAGGACCGAAGUAAUGAUUAAGAGGGACAGUUGGGGGCAUUCGUAUUUAAUUGUCAGAGGUGAAAUUCUCGGAUUUAUGAAAGACGAACAACUGCGAAAGCAUUUGCCAAGGAUGUUUUCAUGAA
rnacentral:rRNA from 1 species